rnacentral:rRNA from 1 species
CAGCAGCCGCGGUAAUACGGAGGGAGCUAGCGUUGUUCGGAAUUACUGGGCGUAAAGCGCACGUAGGCGGCUUUGUAAGUUAGAGGUGAAAGCCUGGAGCUCAACUCCAGAAUUGCCUUUAAGACUGCAUCGCUUGAAUCCGGGAGAGGUGAGUGGAAUUCCGAGUGUAGAGGUGAAAUUCGUAGAUAUUCGGAAGAACACCUGUGGCGAAGGCGGCUCACUGGACCGGCAUUGACGCUGAGGUGCGAAAGCGUGGGGAGCAAACAGGAUUAGAUACCCGCGUAGUCCCUGUCUCUUAUAC